AUUGAACGCUGGCGGCAGGCCUAACACAUGCAAGUCGAGCGGAUGAAGGGAGCUUGCUCCUGGAUUCAGCGGCGGACGGGUGAGUAAUGCCUAGGAAUCUGCCUGGUAGUGGGGGAUAACGUCCGGAAACGGGCGCUAAUACCGCAUACGUCCUGAGGGAGAAAGUGGGGGAUCUUCGGACUUCACGCUAUCAGAUGACCCUAGGUCGGAUUAGCUAGUUGGUGGGGUAAAGGCCUACCAAGGCGACGAUCCGUAACUGGUCUGAGAGGAUGAUCAGUCACACUGGAACUGAGACACGGUCCAGACUCCUACGGGAGGCAGCAGUGGGGAAUAUUGGACAAUGGGCGAAAGCCUGAUCCAGCCAUGCCGCGUGUGUGAAGAAGGUCUUCGGAUUGUAAAGCACUUUAAGUUGGGAGGAAGGGCAGUAAGUUAAUACCUUGCUGUUUUGACGUUACCAACAGAAUAAGCACCGGCUAACUUCGUG
rnacentral:rRNA from 1 species